UAAACUAGGAUUAGAUACCCUAUUAUUUUAGAGUGUUAAGUUGUUUGCCUGAGUAGUACUAGCUAUGUUCUUGAAACUUAAAGAAUUUGGCGGUAUCUCAUUCCGUCCAGAGGAAUCUGUCUCGUUAUCGAUAGUCCGCGUUGGACCUUACUUAGUUGCUUUGGUUUGUAUACCGCCGUUUAUUGAUUAUCUUUUUAGGGUUUGAUUAAUUUUCUGGUUUCUUUAUUUUGAUUUAUUUCAGGUCAAGGUGCAGCUUGUUUCUAAGUGAAUGAUGGAUUACAUUGUUAUUUGUUUGUGGAUUGCUGAUUUUGAUAUUGGUAUGAAAUUGGAUUUGGUUGUAAUGAUUUGUAGAUUAUUAUUAUGAUAAAUGGUUCUGGGAUAUGCACACAUCGCCCGUCGCUCUCGUUUAUUUAAUGAGAUAAGUCGUAACAUAGUA
rnacentral:rRNA from 1 species